CCCUUAGAUGUCCUGGGCUGCACGCGCGCUACACUGAUGUGUCCAGUAAGCACCUAACCUCUUCCGAAAGGAACGGGUAACCUUUGCAAAGCACAUCGUGAUGGGGAUAGAUUAUUGCAAUUAUUAGUCUUGAACGAGGAAUUCCUAGUAAGCACAAGUCAUCAGCUUGUGUUGAUUACGUCCCUGCCCUUUGUACACACCGCCCGUCGCACCUACCGAUUGAAUGUUUCGGUGAAGAUUCCGGAUAGGACUUUUUUGAUUUAUUUCAAUUUUGUCUUAAAAGCUAUCUAAACCUCAACAUUUAGAGGAAGGUGAAGUCGUAACA
rnacentral:rRNA from 1 species